AGAGUUUGAUCCUGGCUCAGGACGAACGCUGGCGGCGCGCCUAACACAUGCAAGUCGAACGAGAGAGAAGGAGCUUGCUUCUUCGAUCGAGUGGCGAACGGGUGAGUAACGCGUGAGGAACCUGCCUCAAAGAGGGGGACAACAGUUGGAAACGACUGCUAAUACCGCAUAAGCCCACGGGUCGGCAUCGACCUGAGGGAAAAGGAGCAAUCCGCUUUGAGAUGGCCUCGCGUCCGAUUAGCUAGUUGGUGAGGUAAUGGCCCACCAAGGCGACGAUCGGUAGCCGGACUGAGAGGUUGAACGGCCACAUUGGGACUGAGACACGGCCCAGACUCCUACGGGAGGCAGCAGUGGGGAAUAUUGCACAAUGGGGGAAACCCUGAUGCAGCGACGCCGCGUGGAGGAAGAAGGUCUUCGGAUUGUAAACUCCUGUUGUUGAGGAAGAUAAUGACGGUACUCAACAAGGAAGUGACGGCUAACUACGUGCCAGCAGCCGCGGUAAAACGUAGGUCACAAGCGUUGUCCGGAAUUACUGGGUGUAAAGGGAGCGCAGGCGGGAAGACAAGUUGGAAGUGAAAUCUAUGGGCUCAACCCAUAAACUGCUUUCAAAACUGUUUUUCUUGAGUAGUGCAGAGGUAGGCGGAAUUCCCGGUGUAGCGGUGGAAUGCGUAGAUAUCGGGAGGAACACCAGUGGCGAAGGCGGCCUACUGGGCACCAACUGACGCUGAGGCUCGAAAGUGUGGGUAGCAAACAGGAUUAGAUACCCUGGUAGUCCACACCGUAAACGAUGAUUACUAGGUGUUGGAGGAUUGACCCCUUCAGUGCCGCAGUUAACACAAUAAGUAAUCCACCUGGGGAGUACGACCGCAAGGUUGAAACUCAAAGGAAUUGACGGGGGCCCGCACAAGCAGUGGAGUAUGUGGUUUAAUUCGACGCAACGCGAAGAACCUUACCAAGUCUUGACAUCCCUUGACGAACAUAGAAAUAUGUUUUCUCUUCGG
rnacentral:rRNA from 1 species